AGCAGCCGCGGUAAUUCCAGCUCCAAUAGCGUAUAUUAAAGUUGUUGCAGUUAAAAAGCUCGUAGUUGAAUUUCGGAAUCUGUCCGUUGGUCGGGCUUAAUUGUCCGUACUGAUGUGAUGGGUUCUUACCUUCUGAAUAACCAGCAUGCCAUUAAUUUAGUGUGUUGGGGAAGCAGGACUAUUACCUUGAAAAAAUUAGAGUGCUCAAAGCAGGCUAGUGCCUGAAUACAUUAGCAUGGAAUAAUAAAAUAGGACGGCAUGGUUCUAUUUUGUUGGUUUCUAGGAUCACCGUAAUGAUUAAUAGGGAUAGUUGGGGGCAUUAGUAUUCAAUUGUCAGAGGUGAAAUUCUUGGAUUUAUUGAAGACUAACUUCUGCGAAAGCAUUUGCCAAGGAUGUUUUCAUUAAUCAAGAACGAAAGUUAGGGGAUCGAAGACGAUCAGAUACCGUCGUAGUCUUAACCAUAAACUAUGCCGACUAGGGAUCGGACGAUGUUAAUUUAUAAUGACUCGUUCGGCGCCUU
rnacentral:rRNA from 1 species